UGCGUAGGUGGUUUUUUAAGUCAGAUGUGAAAGCCCUGGGCUUAACCUAGGAAUUGCAUUUGAUACUGAAUAACUUGAGUAUGGUAGAGGGAAGUGGAAUUUCCAGUGUAGCGGUGAAAUGCGUAGAUAUUGGAAGGAACAUCAGUGGCGAAGGCGACUUCCUGGACCAUUACUGACACUGAGGCACGAAAGCGUGGGGAGCGAACA
rnacentral:rRNA from 1 species